ensembl:lncRNA
CUCUGAGCGGACACAUCACGGCACAUAAAACCACACCACAGACCCUCUGACUGGUCUCCCUCAGACUCCCCAUGUUGAAUUCAUGAACUCGUGAUUAAUAAACUGAGCAAUUCUGCCUUUGAGCAGCUUCUUGGUCAUCACCAAGUGCUGAUCGCCUUCUUGUGAAAUUUGGGUCGGUUUUAAACAAAAGAUGUUUGACCUCUGCCAAAGUUUAAGGUCACAGUGUAAAUACCCAAAAUGAGAUUUCCGUGACAUGGUCUAAAAAUCGCAGCUAUUCGGACGUGCCUGAGGAGGUGAUUAUGAAUGGGAGACUGGCUAGAUUGAUCACACCUUGUAUAAAGAGACAGAAUUUAAAAAAACAGAAUGUGCAGAGGAGGAGAAGAGGAUGACCACAGAAAAUUCCUGGAUGUAGUGAAGGAGGACAUGCAGAGGGUGUGUGUGACAGAAGAGGAUGCUGGGAUAUGGUGAUGAUAGAGGCAGAUGAGCUGCUGUGGUGACUCCUAAAGGGAGUUUUUUGUUUGCCUUCCGACAUCAGAGGCUGGAGAGCCAGGCUGUGAUAUGUCAGUAUGUGACUGUUUCAGUAUUAACAGAGAAAACUAACAUUAUUUUAAAGGGCUUUUCUGGAGCAUUCAGUGAUCCAGUGACUGUGAAUUAUGAGGGACAACAUUUAUAUCCUGUUAAGACAUCAUGCUGUAGAUAAACGCUGUUCUUCAACUUAGAUAUUAAGUAUUUAAUACCUAAAAGAGAAGGAAUGAAUUGUACAUUCAGUAUUUAAGGGGAAAAGAUACAGAUAUAUGUCAAAUAUUCUUGAUGACAGAGCAGUAGAUCCAAAUUAUAUUUUACAAAUUUUACAUCCAUAGAGAGAAACAACUCUACAGCUCCUGGACUCAUUUCUUCUUCUUUCACAAAACAACACAGAUGCUGACACAUUUAUCGGAUCGGAAACUUUGUUUCGAGCAAACUUUCACUCUAGCAACAUGUAUGAUAAAAUAGUACGCUGCUAAUCAAAAAGGUUUGUUCUCAUAGGCUCACAGAGAGACUGGGUGUAUUUGCCUGUCUGUCAAACAGUGCACAACCUGCAGUGCUGUGAUCUGAAACAUAUAUUUGGAAAUCUUUCAGCAGAAGACUUUUACUAUAUGAUGAAAACUUAUGAGACUGUAUAUGCCUAUAUGUAUAUCUCCAGCUGCAUUGCUGGAGUCUGAUAUUUUUUGGCCACCUUUUUUGAGCAAGAAGGUAAAUCUAACCAAGAGCAAGAACAGACCACACAGUUAUACAACCGGAACUUACCAGCCAUGCCCUCAAUCAUACACUGCUUCACAAUUCACUCUGAACGAGACCAUGAUUUAAAAUAAACCUCAUAUUAUAUCAAAUAAAUAACGGCUUGAAACUAGUAAUAGAAGCUAUCAAUUCAGGAAAGCACUGUUCUUCACAACCAGAGCAGUUGCUACAUGAUGGUCAUUAAGAAAUAUGCAGGUUUACUUAGUUUAGUGCAGCAUUACUGCAAUAAAAAAACUUAAAACUGGCUGUUUGUACAUUGACACAGCUAAACUGACUGCACAGUAGAUCUGUUCAGUUUUUGGUAAACAUUAGCAAAUGAUCCUUCACUUUUCUAACAAGCUUCAAGCCGGAUGGAUGGUAGAAUCACAGCCAUGAAGACAAGAACAGAGAGGCACAUCAUCCAACUCCUGCCCCCUUUUCAUAGUGUGGUCUGUGCCAGCUGGUGCUGAAGCCACCAUCUUUAGUCAGUGCAUUUGGUUUGUUUCUCUCCUCUGCUCGCUGUUUCACUUUGUUUGUGUGAGGUGCUUUUAGUCCUUCAAUUCACUGCAUCAAAAAAUAAAUGAACAUAUAUGUGCAGCAUCUACACAUCUUUCAUUACCUCAUACAUGGAUUAUUAUCUCUAAGUUUAAUGUCCACAGAAAAACCAUGUUCCAUACAUUAUGUAUCAUAUGGUCAUCCCAUGAUUUCUCCAUGCAGCCUCCAGAAAGCUGAACAUGCUUAGAAAAGAUGUCAAGAAAGGUUGUAUUUUUAUUUGGUCGUCCUAAGUAAAGCACUGUCCUCACAGCUCCUUCUGAUCUGUGUGAGUUUGGGUCAUGGAUUGCUUCUGCUCAUUGAGGAAUGACACUAUUCAGGGUAAGAGAACAUAUUUGUGCCACUUAAGGUGUUUUCCGAGAUACAGCUGCAGGUUGCUCACUGUGAUGACUGCAGAGUUUUUAUCCACAGCAGUUCUUCAUUUUUUUUUUAUUUUUUAUUUUUUUAGAAAAGAUUGAAACUGUUGCUUUGGUUUUUUGUCUGCUUGAUGUGUUUCAAUUAUCCUGUCAGUGCAGCAGAUGAGGCGUUUGGGUCUGUCAAACUGGCCAGCAGGAGGCGUCAGUCACCUCUGCAGCCAAACCUUUGUUUACUGUAGCCGCUCUGUGUGUCAAGUUCAUUUACUGUGUUAAUAAAAUGAUGCAAAACUUUGGGGUGUCGGUGUAAUUCCCUCCAGAAAAGGACCAAAGCAAAAUGUGCAUUAUUUCAUUGACUUGUCUACAUCCAAAACAGCUUCAGAGAGGAGAGGGGGGUCUUGGAGAAGAAUAAACACAACGUCCUCAGCACCACUUUCACACUUUACGUUACUCUGUAUGAACAAAAUAACUACACUUACUCACAUAUUGUAGUUACAGUAUAUUAGCCCAGCUAAAUUACAGACCAUAGACUCAGUUUUAGGACUCUGAACUAGACUAAAUUAGAAUAUGCCGCUCCGUCUGCUACAAAUGAAACUCUUACACUUUCAUGUCAUUUAAAUUGCAGUUUGCUUUGAGCCCUUGGUCCCAGAUUUCUGUGCUGUUUUAGUGUUUGCAUUUCUUAUUCUUGAAGUUGUUGAGCUUGUGGUUCCUGUUUGCCUUUGUUGUUAUUUUUUUACAAGAUGUUUGGGUUGUGUGAUAUUAUCUUAUUUCUGUGGUCUCUGUGUUGAUUUUGUUAUGACAGUCUCCCUGUUUAUGCCUCUCUUUGUCUCAUCUUCAUGCUCAGGCUUAGCUGUUUACUUCCUUACUUUUUACUUCCUGUUUUAUUUUUUAAGGUUAGUUUUCUUUCGUGUCUUACAUUAAUUUUACAUUCUGCCCUGAUUGUCUUCACCUAUGCUCAUUUCUUUUCAUCUUUGUCUCUUUGUUCUUCUGUCACGUCCCAAUCAGCUCUCAGUGUAAAUGUAGCCCUGUUUUCCCUUUUCCUUUGUGAUAAGGCAUCUGAUAGACGGCUCAUUUUUGCUUACUGCAUGUGGUUUUCUCUCAUUUGCUCCUUCGUAUAGCUGAACUUUAGUUUAUGGUUUGGAUCUUUAGCAUUUUGCUAAGUAGACCAAAGAUCAUGGCCUUUGUUUUUAUUUUGACAGCAUACUGUAUUUGGGUCGUCUAUACUGCACAGCCUUGACACAUAUCUUUGACACCUGCUGUCAAAUCCAUAAGUAUUUGAGAUAAUAACCCUCAGCCGCUACAGUGUAGUGGCCUAUAGACCUGGUCCCUGUACUACGAAGCAAGUUCACAUACCCAGGAUAUCUGGAUUCACUUAACCUAACAAUCAGGCUAAGCAGUCAAGGUGGAUAUCAUCUUAAAGUUGCUGCAGUUAAAAAGCUCGUAGUUGGAUCUCGGGAUCGAGCUGACGGUCCGCCGCGAGGCGAGCUACCGUCUGUCCCAGCCCCUGCCUCUCGGCGCCCCCUCGAUGCUCUUAGUUGAGUGUCCCGCGGGGUCCGAACCGUUUACUUUGAAAAAAUUAGAGUGUUCAAAGCAGGCCCGGUCGCCUGAAUACCGCAGCUAGGAAUAAUGGAAUAGGACUCCGGUUCUAUUUUGUGGGUUUUCUCUCUGAACUGGGGCCAUGAUUAA